CCAUUUUACUGUUUUCAUCUGGUUUCAUUUUUUGAGUGUCAGUUUAUUGAAUACUUGUACAUAGGGAAUUUGUGUGAGAUUACUCAAGUGUGAAUGUUCUUUUCCUCCGACCCAAGUCAGGUGGAAAAAAAACCAAUUCCAGACUUCAGAAAUAUGUAAUAUACAAUUGCAUUGAAAUUUUGUAAAAUGUUCUUAAACAGUGAUGUCUGUUUUCUUUUAUAUGUCAUUUCAGUACCUAAGAAAUGGAAAGUAAAUUGUUAUAUAUUUUUAAUGAUCUUGCAAAAGAAAACAAUAUUGCAAUAAGAUUUUCAUUUAGAUUUUUUAUUACUGUCUUGCAAAACAAGAAAAGAAAAUGAUACUUUAAAAAUUCGUUUGGAAUUUUUUCCUCAGAUUUGAUUAUCUGAGUAUGCAAAUUGAGAUAGAUUGGCUUUAAGUCCCCUGAUUUGGGUGUCAGGGGUAAGGAGAUUGGUUUUAAGUCCCCUGAUUUGGGUGUCGGGGGUAAGGAGUUUGCUGUGUUUAAUGUGUGUAAAUGAACAAUCAGUAUUGUAUAUGCUAGGGGUCUUUCACCGUUUUUAGUGGGCACACAAGUAUGUGUGUGUGUAAGGUAAAGUGUGCUGUAUCCCGAGGGAUAAAUCCAGAGAGUAUCCGCAAGGAAUGAGUGAUUGCCAUGGUUAUGUCCUAAACACGUGAUUUACACGUGUCACGGAAAAUAAAUAAUUAUUUUUCAAAAAGUUUG
rnacentral:sRNA from 1 species